GCCUUAUCAUUCUAUAAGGAGUAAGGUAGACAGCCUUAUCAUUCUAUAAGGAGUAAGGUAGACAGCCUUAUCAUUCUAUAAGGAGUAAGGUAGACGUCCUUAUCAUUCUAUAAGGAGUAAGGUAGACAGCCUUAUCAUUCUAUAAGGAGUAAGGUAGACAGCCUUAUCAUUCUAUAAGGAGUAAGGUAGACAGCCUUAUCAUUCUAUAAGGAGUAAGGUAGACAGCCUUAUCAUUCUAUAAGGAGUAAGGUAGACAGCCUUAUCAUUCUAUAAGGAGUAAGGUAGACAGCCUUAUCAUUCUAUAAGGAGUAAGGUAGACAGCCUUAUCAUUCUAUAAGGAGUAAGGUAGACAGCCUUAUCAUUCUAUAAGGAGUAAGGUAGACAGCCUUAUCAUUCUAUAAGGAGUAAGGUAGACAGCCUUAUCAUUCUAUCAG